CCCGGCCCCGCCGCGGGACAGCCGCGCUCCCGCCGGGUGUCCCGGGCGGAGAUGGGCUGGGUUAGACGGGGCAGGGCAAACGCCGACCCCGCCGUCCCGAGGGCUUCCCCCGUCCCGCCGGGGCAGGCGCCUCACCUGGUGCUCCUCCAGCUCCUCCACCAGUACCUGGGGACAGAGGGACACACAGACACACACAAAGGACGUGAGUCCGGCGACCGCAGCGCAGCGGCUCCGCCGCCCCGUCCCGUCCAGUCCCGUCCCGUCCCGUCGCCGCCCGCCCGGCCCGGCCGGAGCGCCGGCUCCGCGCUCACCUGGGCGGAUUUCUUGCAGGGUCCGGACUGCAGGAACCGUGCGAUCAGAAAUGCCAAAUCCAGCUGUGGAUGGAACACCCAGGAAAAGGGGUGGCUCUGUGUCCCUGUGUGCUCUGGGCUCUGCCAGUCGAAGGACCGGGGGAAUGAUAUCAGUGUCAGGUCCAUCCUCAGAUCUCUGAAUUCCAACUUUGUACCUCAGAGUGCCUGGAAUGCCCAAGUUUUAUAGCAGCAAAUUUACUACUGGGUGUAAGUGACCAGUUUUUAGGGCCAAAUCCUGCAUUUUGGGCUUCUCCUGGAAGCCUGGGCACAAAGCAUCUGACUGCAGCUGGGAAUUCAUCACCUCUCUCCCUGGACAUGCAAAUUUCACUGGAACUCCCUCAGCUAACUUCCUGAAUUUUUGCCCUGUUACUAGGUGCUGAUGCAGAUGUAAGAAAUAUUUUAAUUUCUCUCAGCAAUGAAAUGAAACAGAACAUGACCAGACCUCCAGAAGAAGGAAAAACGUGUUUGCUGGAGGGCAGGAAAACCCUGGAGCUGCUGAUAACUACAAGUCAUUCUGAUGAGAUCAGAAAAAGUGGUUCAAAAGGAAUGAGGUUAUGAAGCACGAAAAAAUACUCCAAAACAACUAUGGAGGAGGGAAGAGGAAUUUCUGCUCUGACCCUGGCACAGCAUCCAGACACUGCCUCUCUCCUUCCCAUCGGUAUUUCCUUGCAAUCCCAGAUCCUCUGCAGCCUCUGGUCAUUGGGAGAGCAGGGAAUAGCUGCUGCGGCUCACUGCUCCCGGCAGCGCGGGAGGGAUGAGCCGAGACUGAAAUCGUUUCCUACCAUUCAUGUCAGGACGACUCCAAGACCGGCUCCGGUUCCAUCCACAUCACUCCUGCACCCCAUCGCUGCAAGGAAAAGUAAUCACUUGUCUUACCUCCGGGUUUAAUUAGUCCCUGCUCCGGGGCUAAUUAGGAGCGCGGUCCGCGCGGAGGUCGGGGCCGGAGCCCUCCCUCCCUCUCCCGCUCCCGUUCCCGCUCCUGCCGCCACUCCCGCUCCCAUUCCCGCUCCUGCUCCCGCUCUGUGCCAUCUGCCAUUGCCAUGACACUGGCUUUGCUUUUCACGGCUGGCUGGGCGCGCUGGAUGCGCGGGGUAAUGGGGCUAUUUUUCCCCCCUUGGUCUUUGGAAAGGAAAUAAUAAUAAUAAUAAACCCAGGAAUGGCUGGAACUGCUGCACACUGCCCUUUUCCUUCCCACUUUUGAAGCUUUUUAGCAUUCAGUUUUCCAGCAAUUGGGAGGAAAAUUGCCCUGAAAGAAAGAAAGAAACAAAAAUCUGUGUUAUUUUUUAAACACCCCCCCCCCCCCCACCCCCCGCGCCACACAGGCAGCUGCAGAGAAUUUCUCUUCCAAAGGGAUGAUGUAAUGGGCUUUGUCAGCCAAUGCUGGAAUGAAUAAAACCCGAGACCCGAAAUCCAUCCAGGCUUUUGAUGAAACUCCUGAGGUUCCUGGAGCCUCAGGAGUGGUCGCCAAAAUAGGCUGGAACUGCUGGUUUUGUCAUGCAGCUCUUGAGAAAAGUGAGAUGGAGAGUCAAGGGCUCCAACCAGGGAAUAACCAAAACCACCAGGUUUUGUCCCUGCUGAGGGAAAGGGGACCUUGUGGGGCAUCUGGGGACACUCAGUGAAGGGGUGCACAGCCCUUGGUGCCAGGACAUCAGUCCAAGAUUCAACACAGAAUCACUCCUGAUCUGAACAUGGCACCUACAAUCACAUUUUAUAGAGAGAUAGAUGUGUGUAUUUAUUAUUAUGUAUAUUAUAUAUAAUUCAAUAUUAUUGCCCAGAGAAGCUGUGGCUGCCCCAUCCCUGGGAGUGUCCAAGGCCAGGUUGGACAGGGCUUGGAGCAACCUUGGGGCUAGUGGAAGGUGUCCCUGUCCAUGGCAGGAGGUGGGACUUGAUGGGUUUGUGGUCCCUUCCUACCCAAAGCAGUUGGGGAUUCUGUGAUAUAUAUAAAACAUAAAUAUAUAAACUAUACACAAGUAUCACCAAUUCCUGCUGCAGCAAUGGGCACAUUGUUGCUCUCCCGAGGAUGUCAUGGGCUGCUGAGGCCAGGAGAUCUCUCACUCUGUGACUGAUCCCAAGUCUUUGCUAGCUUUCUUUGGGGCCCCUUUAGGCACUGGAAGACGCUCUAAGGUCUCCCAGAGUUUUCUCCAGAGCACCCCCAGCUCUCCCAGCCUGUCCUCAUAGGACACACUGCACUGUUCCUGUCACCCCAAAUUUCUGCAGCAAAGAGGCUGCAGGGCAGGCAGGGAGAGCUCCCUGCAUUCCAGAAGGUUCCAGCUCUUUCAGGGACAUCACACUUCCAGGUGAUGGAGGAGAAUCAUGGAUACAUUUUGUCUUGGCUGCUCUCUGGCCCCUGCUUGUGCAUUCUUGCUGGGCAUCCCUGCAGCAGGAGCUGGGACAGAGCUGCUGCCACCAUCCCCCAGCCCUGUGGAGCCACCAGCACGGUGCCACAUCCAGUUACACCCUGAGAGCUGUGGUACCUGCUCCCAGUCCCCAUGCCGCCACCCCAGCAGCUGGAUAACCCCAAAUUCCCAGGGAUGACCUCGCUGUGUGUGCAGAGCAGCCGUGCAGGAGCCCCCAGCCAGGACCACCACCUAGAGGCUACAGCACCAAGUGAAGCCAAGAAGAUUUACAGCUAAGAUGGGCCACAAAGGAGGUUGGAAAUAAUUCCCAAGCCCAAAUGGAGCAGCACUGGGAGAUGGGAAUCUAGACUCCCUCUCCAGCCCAGUGGUGGCCAUCACAUCACCUUCAGCACCAGCAGCACUCAACAAACCUGGGCCCUAGGGUGGCAUUUGGGGAGGGAGUUUUGCCAAGAACAGGAGGAUGUGGUGCCCUUUUCCUCCUGGGAACAAUUCACCUCCAAUGGAGAAUAUUUCCAGGAACACACCUGCACAGGGGGAUGUGCACAAACCAGGUCAGUGGCACAGGGCUUGGCAGGGACACAAGUGGUACCUUGGGUACAUCCAUGCUGUGUGUCUGUCCCCACCAACAGCCACAUACAGUGAACAGCAGGGAAGGUUUCCUCCUUUCAAAGUGCCCAGAAUGUGGCUGGAGGGGCUCAGACCAAAGGGGAAGUACAAACCUGUGCCCCCUCACCCCCCAGCUCCUUCCAGAGGUCCAGGGCUGGGAACAACUCCAGGUCCUCUCCAACACCCAUGGGUUGCUGGUCCUGCACUGGUGACAUGUCUUUGUGUCUCACAGCCCCACCGGAUCAUCCUCCAAGAAUUUGUGUAAUCACUUCCUAAGCCAUUAUGAUUCCUGGGCUCCAUUUGGGCAAUGAGUUACAUGGUUUAAUUACUCAUUGUGUGAAAUAUCCUCGUUUUGCAUCUGCCACUCUGUAAUUUCAUUUGGGGCCUCUUUGUUUGCUUUGUGUCCCCACACAAGAGCCACCAACCCCUAUUCACUGUCCCUGUGCCACUGCACCAGGGAAUACAAAUCCCACAUCCUUCUCCCUCCUGUCUGUCAAUUCUUUGCAAGACAAAAAGGGUAAUUUAUUUAAUUGUUGCUGAUAUAAUGUCCUAAAAGUCUCCUUUCCCCUCCAACAGUUAAUUACACUUGUUAAUUAUUUUAAUUAUUCCCAGGGUAAUGCUGUAGGUAUAGAGUAGCAUAGGAGUAAACACGGAGUGAGGAAGUUGGGGUUUACUCCAAGAUCUCAGUUGAUAACCAGGCUGUAAUCACAUGGGUGGUGAAACCACAGCAGGGAAUGUUUGGCCUGGAUUUGGAACUUUCUGUUGGCAGCAUGGAAGGAUUUAUAGGAAGAGACGGCAGAUCCUGCAGGAUUGCCCUCGGAUGAGGCUCGGAGAGGUGACUCCAGCCGUUCUCUCCAGGCAGAGCCAGCACAAAAUGGAACCAUGGCUUGGGGAAGUAUUUUUGGUCAGCACCUCCGUGAUGGUGGAUUUAUAUGAAGGAAGAAACCAAACCAAGCAAAAUUCCAGCCCGCUGGAAAGCUGAGGCUCAGCCUGAGGCUUCAGAACAGCCCACCUCCACUCCAGCCAUGUUCUGAGGGGAGCGGUGGCCCUGGAUCCAUGAAACAGCAAAACUCGUUUGUGGUCCCACAGAGCAGCCUCUGCCAGCGCCCCUGGAGCCAGGGUGAAACCCGAGAGCUGCCGCAAUCCAAACCUUCUCCACAGCUCCUUUUAUCUUCCUGGGGGGAAAACAAACAGCGCAGAAGCCGGAGCUUUGUGGCUGGGAUGUUGCACAUCUGGUUUGAGCUCCAAGAAAUGCACUUCCACCCCCUCCCCGAAUUGUUCAUGUUAAACAAACAAAACCCCAGCGAUUUUGUGAGAUUUUGGCUCUGGGAUAACUUUGGAGCAGCUUUUUCUGAGAAUUCCAGGCUUGUGCUGCACUUCAUCCCCAGUGGAAGCAGCACACCUCGCUCGCCAGGAGGGAGGCACUUCCAAAGGGGAACAGCCAUGCCCUGGAACCCCCUUACCGGGAAUGCUGCUGGGAGUGGGAGGGGAGAGGGGUCUUGACCACUCUGUGUUUCGGUUUCAAUCCAGCAUUUUUCCCUGUGUAAUUUAUGCUUCCUCUCCCUCUUUUAAGAACGUCUGGAAUUGUUUAAGAUGUGUCCAAUUGUAUUAAGUUGCCUUUGAGAGCUUUAUGGUGUCAAUUGGAUUUCCACUCUUAGGAACAGAGCUUUCCAAUUUGCUGUUUUUCCCUUUUCUAUCACAUCAGCACCAACAUCUUUUCAGUGCUUUCAGGUGUUACCUCAGCUUGAAGUUCACACGAAUCCCUGAACAUCACUUCCAUUUGACACUGUUCCAGUGAUUCCCUGGUUGGUGCUGCAGGAGGGAGUGUCAUUCCUCUGGGGUCCUGUCCCACUGGCUCCUCCCUGUCAUCUUCCAGCAGAGGUGGAUAAAUCAGGGCAGAUCAUGGAAUCAUGGAAUCACAGAGUGGUUUGGGUGGGAAGGGACCUUAGAGCCCAUCUCAUUCCCUGCCAUGGGCAGGGACACCUUUCAUAAGACCAGGUUGCUCCAAGCCCCGUCCAGCCUGGCCUUGGACACUUCCAGGGACUGGGCAGCCACAGCUUCUCUGAAAAGAGAUGAAAGGUGUGGGUGAAGGGAUUAGGAGCAGUUCUGAUCCUCUCCCUAUCCCCUCCUUGACUCACCCUAGCCCAGUCCCAAUCACACCACUUCCAAAGCGGGGGACAACAGCCACACGAGUGACCAGUGACAUCUGUCCCCUUCUCCAUGCUCACUUGUGACCACCUCCAGCUCCUCCGGGCACUGGGGCAGUCUGGAAGCCACGCUGCCAUUGUUCUCUCAAAGGACAGAGCUCCUCGAAAGCCGCCCAGCGCCGGCCCGGGGUGUUCCCAGCUGCUGGAGCCCAUCCAGGGCAUCAAGUUUCAGAGCGGGGGUGGGGGGGGGCUCCCGGCAGCUGCACGGGAAAGGAGCAGCACCACUGAGACAGUCAGAGGGAGGAGCCAUCGUUUCCAUUGCAGAGAUUCAAUUUUCUUCCCCCUUCAUCAGAUUAACACCAGUGUCACUCCAUUAACUGCCAGGGAGCUGCUCUUGAUCUGAAAAUCAGACCUGUCUGAGUGUCACAGAAUCCCAGACUGGUUUGAGUUGGAAGAGACCUCAAAUAUCCUCUAGUUCUGACCCCUGCCAUGGGCAGGGACACCUCCCACUCUCCCAGAUUGUUCCAAGCCCCAUUCAGCCUGGCCUUGGACACCUCCAGGGAUAGGGCAGCCACAGCUUCUCUGGGCACCCUGUGCCAGGGCCUCCUCCCCCUCAUGGGGGAGAAUUUCUUCCCAAUAUUCAAACUAAAUCUAUCCUCCACCUUAAAGCCCUUUCCCUUUGUCCUGUCCCUCCAACCCUUGUUCAAAGGCCCUCUCCAGCUCUCCUAGAGCCUCUUCAGGCACUGGAAGGGGGCUCUAAGCUUUCCCCAGAGCUUUUCUUUCCCACGUGAACAUGCCCAGCUCUCCCAGCCUGGCUCCACAGCAGAGGGGUUUUCUUAUUUUUUUGUGUACAGUCACUUCCCUCAAAGAAGCAAAGGUAAAUGUGGGAUGAACCUGCAAAAUCCUUCCUUUUAUGUGCUUGGAGGGGUUGUUUUAUUUUAUUUUCCCCAUUUCCCCCUUUUUUUUACAUCCCAAGGACCUCACUGUGUUUGCCAUUCUCUUGCUUGCUGAGGCAGCAGUGCCUUUUCCCUCUGUGCUGCUCCAGCACGUUGCUGAUGGUGGAGACCAGGAUGAAGUCUGGAGGUGCCUCCUCUGAUUUCCCAGCCCUCCCAGGACAGUGACCAGUGUUUUCAAAGUGGUUUUCAGUGGGUUUAUUGUUCUGAGCAAACAAAAGCAAAUGCUUGCCCAGUUCUGUUGAAGAUCCUGUGAGGACACUGUGUGAGGACACUGUGCUGCUCUGGGAGCCUGCACCAAAAGCUGGAUCAUGGAAUUACAGGAACUUUUAGGUUGGAAAAGCCCUCCAAGCCCAUUGAGUCCAACUGUUCCCCCAGCACUGACAAGGCCACCACUGGCCAUGUCCCCAAGUGCCACAUCCACAGUUAAAUCCCCCCAGGGAGGUGACUCCAGCCUGUGCCAGGGCUGGACAACCCUUUUUUCCCUAAUAUCCAACCUAAACCUUGUCUGGUGCACCCUGAGUCGGUCUCCUCUCCUCCUGACCAGCUGCCUGGUCACCUCACCAUGCCAGGGUAUUGCCAACGCCACUCAAAUCUCUUCCCAUGACAUCACCUCAGAACCAUCACUGCCUUCACACCCAGGAAUCUCUUCACCUUUGCAUCUUCAAGGUCCCCAGUUGUUAUGAUGAAUAAUGAUAACCAGAUCCACAGCAAUCUGUGGGUGUUUCCUAACCAGCAUCAGACCCAGUAACAUCUGGAACCCAGGGAACAGAUCGGCAAGGACCCUUUCUCCACAAAUUCCAAAUAAACCUGAGAGUUUGAAAUCUCUCCUUUUCAGACAAAAUAAGCCAAGCUUGGGAGCUGCCAUGGAGCUGGCUUUGGAUUGUGUCUAGACACCAGGAGAGCCGUGGAGAAGGGUUUGGCAUAAACCAGACAAUCCAUUCAGUUGUGCAACUUUCUCAAUACCCCAUGGCUCCGAAAAGUUAUGAAUUUGAGCAAAAUGUUCUUGGGCAAUUUUCUGUGCUUAUUUAAAAGAGGAAUUUGAUUAGAACAAUAGUUAUAGAAUUAAGAACAACUCCCACCCUGGAAUUCAAAAAAGAAAUAACCAAAACCAAACAGCUGUAUGCUCUGUGUAACAACCUCUGGACUCAGAUGGAGAGACACAACUUGGGAUCAGAAUGACCUCAUUCCAAAGGGUGUUUGUACCUUGGCAGAUGGAUGGAUCCUGUGCUAAGGAAAUAUCAACUGUACUCAGUGUCUGCUGCUUAAAUCACAAUGCUUGAGACAUUCAGUGACGAGGCUGGAGCCAAAGAGAGGGAGGAGCCAUGGUCCCACGGCACCAGGGCUGGGAGAAGGGGCUCUUUCAGAGAAACCACUAGGGUAGGAAAUAACACAAAUCUAAAAUAUUUCUAAUAUGCAUUCUCUCCCUGGAGCAGGCCUAUUGGGUUUUCUCACUGACUGCUGGCUAAACUUAUGGAAUCAUGGAAUCCUGGAAUGAUUUGGGUGGGAAGGGAAUUUAAGAGAUCAUCUAAUCCACCCCCUGGAUUAGAUGAUGUCCACCCUAUGGGCAGGUGCACCUUCCCCUAUCUCAGGCUGCUCCAAGCCCCAUCCAGCCUGGCCUUGGACACUUCCAGGGAUCCAGGGGCAGCCACAGCUUCUCUGGGCACCCUGUGCCAGGGCCUGCCCACCCCACAGGGAAUAAUUCCUUCCCAAUAUCCCAUCUAACCCUGAUUUCUGUUUAAAAUAAUUUCCCCUUAUCCUGUCACUAUGUGGCUGUAUGAAAGGUCCCUCUCUCUCCUCCUUACAGGCUCCCUUAGGCACUGGAAGGGGCUCCAAGGUCUCCAGAGCUAACUCUUUUCCAGACUGAACACCCCCAGCUCUCCCAGCCUGUCUUUGUGGAGUGGAGAUUUGGUGAAUCAUUUUUAGAUGUCAGUCAGGAUGACAUUUGAACUGUUGUUGGACCAUGUUCCAACUGGGAUGUUCAGUCUCCCUGCUUUUACCCACAUCUCAGCACACUUCCACCAGGCACAGGGAAUCCAGUUACUGCUCCAUCAGUUUUCACUGGAGGAGAGACCAGAGCAUGGUCCAAAAUCUCUGCUGGAUUAAGGGAAUACAGUGCCAAGGAAAAGGCCCCCCAGAACUCCCUCACCUUCACUGCUGAGGAAGCUGGAGCCCAGUGAGCCCCGAGUGUUUGUACAGAACAGGUAGAGCAGCAGGAAUAACACUCCCCAGUGCCUCAGGCCUGGAAAAUGAAAUCCACAUUUAGACAUCCUCUAGUGGCCCUGGGGGACUCAUCCUGAGCCCCACUGCAUCCAAGACACUCUCACUGAGGUGCUCUUUGGGGUUUGGACACAAAAUACUUGAGCUCUUGGAUUGCUGGGCUGAGGAACAAUUUAAUGGGAGAGAGGUUUCUGCAUUGCAGACAUUUUUCUUCUUAUUAAAUAUAUCCUGUAGAUAUAUCCUGGAUGUGAAGAGACUUUCUAUAAAAGCAGGUUUUAGCAGGAGUUGAUAAAGUUGCACAAAAAAGCUGUAACAACAGAACUGGGACUUAACCCCAGGUCACUGGUCUGGUCCAGUUCUUUCCCAGAAUGAGGAGGCCUGGAUUAAUGGGAAGUCACACAACUGAGGCAGAGAGGGGCUUCAGCCCCAGCCAAAAGGCCAAAACUCUCCAGCUCCAUGGGCUCUCCCUCUCCCACUGCAGCUCUCCUGGAAUUUGGGACCUUUCCAGCAGCACAAGCAACAAACCACAAUCAGCUUUUGAGGAGUCUUUUUUAUUAAGAUAAAUCCAGCAAAAUUCCUAACAGUGGGUACAUACAACCAACCUGCCCUUUUUGAAAAGAAAUGUUUGUAUUUCAUUUAAAAACAGGAUUACACUUUUAUUUAUUUAUUUUUCUUUUUUUUUUUCAAAACUGACAAAAUAAAAUUACAUUUGGGAAACAACAGAUUUCCAGCUCUUAGGUUUUUUCAUGAAAAUAGCUCACCUUCUUUAUAAAAGCAACCCACAGAACCACUGGAAUGUUUCACACGGUUAUUUGUUUUGAGACCUCCCCACUUUAAGAAACCAUACAACACAUACAAGGGAAAAAUUAAAAUCUGAAGUCUGUAAGCAUGACUUACACAAAAAGGGACACACUGACAGAAGUCAAAAGCUAC